ACUUACUGAAAAGUUGAGUGUUUUAUUGCUGUUACAUCCAGAUAAUGACUGUCAAAUUUGGCUAAUAUUAUAGCAGAAUAGCUCUUGCUAUAAAAAUUACUAUCAUGAUGUAACCAUAGGCUUCUUUCACAAAUGCAGAGAGAGGAACAGGGUGGAUUCAUAUUUAUACCAGUCAAUGAUUUCCUGUGCAAGAUUUCAGCAAGCAAACAUUUGGUUAGUUUCACUGCCCAUUGCAUUUCCUGUGCAAGAUUUUAGCAUUCAAGGACUUGGUUAGUUUCACUACCCACUGCAGAUUUCAGUAAUGCUAAAAAGGAGAAAAGUGCACAUAAGACUACAAAGGUUUUAGAUACCAACUGAUUCUUUGGCAGGGGAAAAAGUGGAGUAGGUUAAAGGGUUUUUAAUGCAGGACUUAAAAUACCAUGGAUUUUUUUUCUAUCAUAUUUUAAAUUAAAAGGGAGAACAAAAGUUUAAGAUAAAGAUAUGGGGCUUUGGCAAGUAUGUCUUGAACAGGAUUAAUUGCAUCAUUGCCAUGGAGGGGGAGAAAAGGCAGAAAAAAAUGUGAAAGCAGAAACAAUAUGAUUGGAUUCCCUUUUAAAGUAGAUAAGCUUGGGAAAAGUAAAAAAAAAAGUAUUCGAGUCUGUGAAAUUUGAUUUAGCUGAUAAUGUGGAAAUACUAUGUGGUGAUAAGGUUUUGGAAUGUAAAUACUUCUUUACUGGCAAAGCAGAUGUUUAAGACAUUUCCCCUGAAUUAAGUACAAUAUAGCAAAAGUGAUCCUGGGUUGGAACUACUUUAAUUCUGUUGCCCUUAUAAUGCAAUUCUAGGCAUGUAUCUGAGAGAAAUUCCCACUGAGGCAAAAAGGGGAGGAUCUAUUUCAGCAAAUUUUAAGCUUGAAGCCAAUAAUCAGUCAGAUGAAGGGAAAUAUCUCGGCUCAUUUUUGCAGGCAAGAAUACAGUGCCACAUCAGCAAGCUCAAUACAAUUGGAGGAAGAUAAAAUUAUCUCUGGAAAACAAUAUCCAGAGAUAAUUAAAGAUUUCACAUUUCAAUCGUUGUUAUGAGGUGAUCAAAAGACUGAAAAAUGCUGAAAGAAAAGAUUCCCUGUGUAAUUAUGGUCUCUUAUUUAAUCUCAAUGUAUGAAUGCUUUUGGAAAUUGCAGUGUACAUUUAUUGAGCGUGUAGAAGUGAAUUUUGUUCUCUACUAAAAACAAACUCUUUGUGACAUAAGAAUGAGUCAUGCCUCUAAGUAGACAUUUGGCUUGAAUUUUUUAAACAAUAUCAUCCUCUGUCAACAAUAUUUUCUAAUUGUAAUUCUGAUUUAUCUAUAACUGUAAAUUUUCAGGUUGGUGGUAGAGCUGUUGUUCACCAUUCAACCAAUAAAGUUGCCUUUAUUGAAAGUGUAGGUUGGUCUUUAUUUUUUCAUAGCCCUAAU